rnacentral:rRNA from 1 species
UAAUACGUAGGGUGCGAGCGUCGUCCGGAAUUAUUGGGCGUAAAGAGCUCGUAGGCGGCUUGUCGCGUCGGAUGUGAAAGCCCGGGGCUUAACCCUGGGUCUGCAUUCGAUACGGGCAGGCUGGAGUUCGGUAGGGGAGAUCGGAAUUCCUGGUGUAGCGGUGAAAUGCGCAGAUAUCAGGAGGAACACCGGUGGCGAAGGCGGAUCUCUGGGCCGAUACUGACGCUGAGGAGCGAAAGCAUGGGGAGCGAACAGGA